UCAAAUAACGACAUUAUUAUGCUUAGCAAGACAAAUCCUUCCAUGGUCAAUUCACCAUAUGCCAGAGAAAUAGUUGGCCUUUAAUUAGAUUACAAGAACAAUGUAGAUGCUUAUUGAUCAAAAAAGAUGUAUUGUAAAAACCGAAUUACAUAAGCACACGACGUGUGAAACAUGGUCUGGAUGAUAUGUUCAGGACCUGCUACAUGUAUGCCUUGGAAUGAUACGUUGAGGACCUGCUACAGAUUUACGGUCCAGAUGCUAUCAGAAGUGCACAGAGUUCUCCUUCAAUCAAGGGUUCGUAUCUAUUACUUGACUGUCCGUAGACUUCUGACAGCUGCAAGAGAGCCACAUUUUAAUGCACUAUAAAUCAAGCAUGGAAUCUAAGAGAUAUUAUUUUAUAAUAAGAGAAAAAGUCCAACGUGGAAGCAAUUUAUUCUGCAGAAAAUUCACAAGUGGAUUCUUCUAUCUAACGAAUUACAACUGAACACCUUGUUCAUAUUUGCAAGCAAACCAUCUAAACACCUUGUUUAUAUUUCAACGGAAGCACAAACCAGAGUAGCAUCGUUACCUCUGCAAAAUAUUUAGCUAGCCCAAGCAUGAAUUUUACAGGAUAACACACUUUCAACUUUACAUAGCCUGUUAGCUCUGAAAAAUAUUUGUAUAUUGCAAUCAAAUUUAGACGAGAACACACCCGGUUUAGCUAUGACCAAAACAGCUAACUCGCCACGAAUCAAGAUCAACCACACUAUUUGUUGGGCAUAAGUUACCUGCACAUCCGAGAGGUAUUGGGCCAGGGAAAUUGUUCAAAAAACUGUAGCAUGCAGCGCGUACUAGAGCAUCCAACCGUGGCUGGCAGAGAGCAUGAAGGGGUAAUGGUCAAACCAGCGACGCAGAACACCAUUAGCAGAGUUGAUGUGACCACCAUGCAAACCAAGCACCACGUCGUCGAGCCUACCUGCUCUAAGGAAAGUUAAAAACACUUAACCCCGUCACCAAGGCCACACGCUCACCGUAUGCAUUCGCCCCCAAAGGCGCCCACUGUCGCCAGCCAGAGAGGUCACCCGUCACUAGGGCCUCUUGCUGAACACACUGAAAAAAAUCGCAUCAUGCUUUUUUGCUCUGAAUGUCAACUUCAGAAUUGUGACUUUCAUCUUACAUUAUUAAAUUCAAUGACAGAUUCAUCUUCUUGGCUCUAAUGCACACUAGUUCAUAAUGAAUCCAUAGAGUCAGGACACUUGGAAUUACCCUUGACCCUUGGCAAAUUUUAUUUACUAUACUACCAAGUAGCCAGGCACAAAUAAGGAUUCUACCCGUCAGGCUCAUGCAUAAAUCUUUUCAGAAUCAAUAGUGAAUGAAAUUCAGAACCUGCGCCUUCAUUUAUCCAAGAUUCCUCACAAAAUAUACGACUGUUACAGCUUCAAUUCCCAAUUGGGCAUUAACACAAACACCCCAUGGGCACUCAGAAUGAGAUCCAAAGAUGGAUUACUAAGGUUCACACAAGCCUUGAAAUUAUGGAAACAAUCAGAUCAAAAACAUGAUGGUUACCUGCUAGGAGGAAGGGGCUAGCAACAGAACAUGUGAUGUAGUGUGAGAGGAGGAGAUCACAGCCGCAUGAAGAACAAGGGCAGCGUGCUCACUAUGUCCAUGCGUGUGCAAAAAAAUAGGGAAGCGCACAAACCUUACAUCCGGAGGCCGUGAUGGAUGCUUGUCCUUGUACAGUCUUGGCAACCGUGCUCCAGCCUCGAGCCAGAGCUGCCGCGACAACCACCCGUCGGCCGCCGCGCUGCCGGACAACGCGGCCACACGCCUGAUCACGACGUCGCUGACGUCAUUGACUUUCCCGCAGAACUAACCCGCUGAGCACCAUGCCGUCGUCCAGCAAACCAGCC
rnacentral:lncRNA from 1 species